rnacentral:lncRNA from 1 species
GGGCGCUUGGGACGGCACCCCCAAAUCCCCCGCCACUGAUGCCCGGCUCUGCAGCUGCAGAAAAGAGGCGCCAGCGUGCUCGGUGCCACGUCGGAAUUGGCUCCUGGGACGCUGCAGCUGCCUGCGCGACCUCGUGGUCCCCACGCACGCCCUGCCCCCGGGCGGCCCGCGAGCCGCGGAGGAGCCAAGAGCAGGGAUGCGCGCCCUCCCUCCCGCUCGGGUCUCCAAGGGCAGGGACCCCUGGCCACAGUAAGGCUUCCCGAGCUGGGCUGAGCCGGGACAGACCCAGCUGACACUUUAAUGGGGUGCAAGGAGUGCAAAGAAGGGGAGGCCAGGGAAAGAAGAGGAGUGGCGGAGCGAGGCCGGUAGCUGCAAGGAGGUGGCGAAGGACCCUCCUUCCCUAGGGCCGGAGUUGGGACCCCGGAUCGCCUUAACCCUUUGCAUUCCAAUGGAAAUUCUUGUCUCCCAACGCGUGAGCCUCUCUGCAGCUCCGGAAGAUGUGGGAUGGAAAAGUACAUCCCGGGCCGGGCAGCCUUUCCCAGGCAAAGAAGUUACCUGUGUUCCCAGAAAGGCAACGGAUUUCUGGCGAGCGCGCAGGGCUGGGAGAAGACAGCGGCUAUGUUGCUAAGGCUGACAGCGAUGUGAAAUGUCGUCUGGUUUUCAGGGUGAUGGAAAUUUUCAGACCUCAAACUUUUCUGUCGAAAGCUGACUUAAAUGUUUUUAACACUUAUGUGAAUAAUGUCCUCCCUGUCCCUGGCCUGUUCGAGGACCCUCAGCGUUCACCGAAUCGCGCCAGUGCAACGUACCUUGUUCAGUUCUUGGUCAUAAAGUUGUCCUCAGCCUGUCUGUGUGGUCCCGGAGGGUCGGUGGCGGGCAGUUUCCAAAACUGAGGUAAUAGGAGAUCAGAUGAAUUUGAGGCGACCGGCCAAAAAAAAUAAAAAAUUUAAAAACAACAUUUAAAAUGAAUAGGGGAAUCUUAAAUCUUUAGGUUCCCCCCAAUUAAAAAAAAAAAUCACUGGUAUGUUUUCUUAAUAUUUCCGUUGCACUUCAAUCUUCUAACUCUUAAAAGAAAAUUUUGUCUGUGCUUUAAAAAUAAAUGAACUUUAUUUUUUGCUCUUGUU